CCUACGGGAGGCAGCAGUGGGGAAUAUUGGGCAAUGGGCGCAAGCCUGACCCAGCCACGCCGCGUGAGUGAUGAAGGCCUUCGGGUCGUAAAGCUCUGUGGGGAGGGACGAACAAACCUGGGGCUAAUCACCCGGGUCCUGACGGUACCUCCUUAGCAAGCACCGGCUAACCCUGUGCCAGCAGCCGCGGUAAUACAGGGGGUGCAAACGUUGCUCGGAAUCAUUGGGCGUAAAGCGCACGUAGGCGGUCUGUUAUGUCGGAUGUGAAAGCCCUUGGCUCAACUGAGGAAGUGCAUCCGAAACUGGCAGGCUAGAGUACUAAAGAGGGUCGCGGAAUUCCCGGUGUAGAGGUGAAAUUCGUAGAUAUCGGGAGGAACACCGGUGGCGAAGGCGGCGACCUGGGUAGAUACUGACGCUGAGGUGCGAAAGCGUGGGGAGCAAACAGGAUUAGAUACCCGUGUAGUC
rnacentral:misc_RNA from 1 species